GAUGAACGCUGGCGGCGUGUCUAAUACAUGCAAGUCGAGCGAACGGACGAGAAGCUUGCUUCUCUGAUGUUAGCGGCGGACGGGUGAGUAACACGUGGAUAACCUACCUAUAAGACUGGGAUAACUUCGGGAAACCGGAGCUAAUACCGGAUGAUAUUUUGAACCGCAUGGUUCAAAAGUGAAAGACGGUCUUGCUGUCACUUAUAGAUGGAUCCGCGCUGCAUUAGCUAGUUGGUAAGGUAACGGCUUACCUAGGCAACGAUGCAUAGCCGACCUGAGAGGGUGAUCGGCCACACUGGAACUGAGACACGGUCCAGACUACUACGGGAGGCAGCAGUAGGGAAUCUUCCGCAAUGGGCGAAAGCCUGACGGAGCAACGCCGCGUGAGUGAUGAAGGUCUUCGGAUCGUAAAACUCUGUUAUUAGGGAAGAACAUAUGUGUAAGUAACUGUGCACAUCUUGACGGUACCUAAUCAGAAAGCCACGGCUAACUACGUG
rnacentral:rRNA from 1 species